rnacentral:rRNA from 1 species
AUUGAACGCUGGCGGCAUGCCUUACACAUGCAAGUCUAACGCCCCGCAAGGGGAGUGGCAGACGGGUGAGUAACGCGUGGGAACAUACCCUUUCCUGCGGAAUAGCUCUGGGAAACUGGAAUUAACACCGCAUACGCCCUACGGGGGAAAGAUUUAUCGGGGAAGGAUUGGCCCGCGUUGGAUUAGCUAGUUGGUGGGGUAAAGGCCUACCAAGGCGACGAUCCAUAGCUGGUCUGAGAGGAUGAUCAGCCACAUGGGGACUGAGACACGGCCCAAACUCCUACGGGAGGCAGCAGUGGGGAAUAUUGGACAAUGGGCGCAAGCCUGAUCCAGCCAUGCCGCGUGAGUGAUGAAGGCCUUAGGGUUGUAAAGCUCUUUCACCGAUGAAGAUAAUGACGGUAGUCGGAGAAGAAGCCCCGGCUAACUUCGUGCCAGCCGCCGCCGUAAGAC